rnacentral:lncRNA from 1 species
GCUAAAGUGUAAUUAUUUAGAUAGUUUAAUCUAUUAGGAAGCUUUGGAAUGGAGAUUUUGGUUAUAUGAAACUUGUUUAUUGCUGUAAUUUUUUAUGUAUGAGAAUAAGAAAAAGAAGAAGAAACUUUGUUUGAAAUCAUAAAGGUUUCCAUGUGCUAUUAUCAAUGGUGUGUGAAAAUAUUUAAUAAUAUAUAGUUGUUUUGUUUUUAUAUAUAUAUAUGAAGGGAUAACUAAUGGUAGAGGAGUGUAUAGAACUGGUUUGAGAAUG